UACGGGGGGGGCAAGCGUUGUUCGGAAUUACUGGGCGUAAAGGGCUCGUAGGCGGCCAACUAAGUCGGACGUGAAAUCCCUCGGCUUAACCGGGGAACUGCGUCCGAUACUGGAUGGCUUGAGUUCGGGAGAGGGAUGCGGAAUUCCAGGUGUAGCGGUGAAAUGCGUAGAUACUCUGGAGACACCGGUGGCGAAGGCGGCAUCCUGGACCGGCAUUGACGCUGAUGAGCGAAAGCCAGGGGAGCAAACGGGG
rnacentral:rRNA from 1 species